rnacentral:rRNA from 1 species
UACGGGGGGAGCAAGCGUUGUUCGGAUUUACUGGGCGUAAAGGGCGCGUAGGCGGUCAGCACAAGUCAGUUGUGAAAUCUCAGGGCUUAACUCGGAAAGGUCAACUGAUACUGUGCGACUAGAGUGCGGAAGGGGCAACUGGAAUUCUCGGUGUAGCGGUGAAAUGCGUAGAUAUCGAGAGGAACACCUGCGGCGAAGGCGGGUUGCUGGGCCGACACUGACGCUGAUGCGCGAAAGCCAGGGGAGCGAACGGG